rnacentral:miRNA from 1 species
UGUUUGGUUUUUCGUUUUCC